rnacentral:rRNA from 1 species
CUACCGAAGGACCGUAAAGUUGAUCAGUGUGCUCAGUGAAGCUCGUACAAGGGUAAUCCGCUAAAGUCUAGCGGCGGACGGGUGAGUAAUGCCUGGGAAACUGCCUGAUGGAGGGGGAUAACUACUGGAAACGGUAGCUAAUACCGCAUAAUGUCGCAAGACCAAAGUGGGGGACCUUCGGGCCUCAUGCCAUCAGAUGUGCCCAGAUGGGAUUAGCUAGUAGGUGGGGUAACGGCUCACCUAGGCGACGAUCCCUAGCUGGUCUGAGAGGAUGACCAGCCACACUGGAACUGAGACACGGUCCAGACUCCUACGGGAGGCAGCAGUGGGGAAUAUUGCACAAUGGGCGCAAGCCUGAUGCAGCCAUGCCGCGUGUGUGAAGAAGGCCUUCGGGUUGUAAAGCACUUUCAGCGGGGAGGAAGGCGUUAAGGUUAAUAACCUUGGCGAUUGACGUUACCCGCAGAAGAAGCACCGGCUAACUCCGUGCCAGCAGCCGCGGUAAUACGGAAGAGUGCAAGCGUUAUUCCGAUAUUACUGGGCGUUAAAGCGCAUCGCAGGCGGUCUGUCUAGUCGGAUGUGAAAUCCCCGAGCUCAACCUAAGAAUCUGCAUUAGAAACUGGCAGGCUAUAGUUCUUGUCGAGGGGGAUAGAAAUUCCAGGUGUAGCGGUGAAAUGCGUAGAGAUCUGGAGGAAUACCGGUGGCGAAGGCGGCCCCCUGGUCAAAGACUGACGUUCAGGUGCGAAAGCGUGGGGAGCAAACAGGAUUAGAUACCCUGGUAGUCCACUCCGUAAACGAUGUAGAUUUGGAGGUUGUGCCCUUGAGGCGUGGCUUCCGGAGCUAACGCGUU